UAUUUCGAGCUGUUAACAUGACGGAGAGAAGAGAAUACAAUUCUGUACUUCGUUUCAUUAAUUUAGUGAAAGCUCAUCAGUGCAACUGGAAUUAUUCCAUUGCCGCAUACAGUAAGACAGAUGUGACGAGUGCUGCGUAGAGGGAAAUUUCAUCAGAAAUAAAAGACACGGGUAUAUAUUUAUUUAUUACGCAAAAGACAAAAAAGAACUGUCGAGAGAGAUGGAAGAAUAUCAGAACAGCAUAUGUGCGUUCGCUGAGACCACUAAAGUCUGGUGCUAGCCAGAAUUCAAAGAAAACGUAUUAUUUAGCUUUUCUGCAACCGUAUUUGAAAGGAGAAAAUACGUCCGGCAAUCUUCGCAUUGAAGAUACAGCAAUAGAGGAGUCCAAUAUUAGUUAGAAUGAUAAAAGCGACACAUUUAUUGAAGAGGAAGAUGCCUGACAAAGCUUCUUCCGUGCAAUUACUUGAGAAACCUGCUCGUAAAAGCUCAAGUGAAACACACAAAAAACGAAAGGAAAAAGACCAAGUCGACGAUACUUUUAUAGAAAGGAUGAACAUGGAAAACUUUUCUAAUAAAAGUGACCAAGAUGAUGAACAGAAUUUCCUUAUUUCUCUUUUACCUGAUCUGAAAAACCUUAGCUCGCAUCGGAGGGGGAUUUUCAGAAUACGAACAAUGUCUCUUCUACAUAAAGUUGUUGGAUCGCAUCUGAGGGGGAUUUUCAGAAUUCAGACAAUGUCUCUUCUACAUAAAGUUGUUGGAAGAGGACAAACGAGAGAAUGUGGAAUCGAGUGUUUCAGUUGGUUCCAGUCCUUCAAGUUGGAGUGUUCCAGUCCUUCUACUUGGAGUUCGUAUUCCAUCAUGACAUCUUACAAACCCAGUCUAACAUGAGCGAUAUUGCAACGACUUCGGGAUUCAAUCUGAUUACCCUACUGCCGCAAGAAAGUGAAACUAGUUGUCACAAUGUGUAAAAUAUUAAUAAACCAUUAUAAAAAUAAAACUGCUCAAUUUCAUUAAUA